CCUCCUUCAUGUCCCUAUGUACCCAAGCUAAAUGCCACCUACUCUCUCAAUCCACAUUUCUGCCUCUGCCGUCCCCCAGGACCCCUUGCUCUGGGGGAAGCCACACCAUGAGCAGUCCUAGGGAGAUGCUCACACGAUGAGGAGCUGAAUCUUCCUGACAACAGUAGAGUGAGCUUGGAAGCAAAUCCAUCAGCCCCCAGCAAGUCUUCACAGACUGGUCUCACCCUAUGUCUUGAUUGAAGCCUCAUGAAAGACCCUGAGCCAGAACCACCAGCCAAGCCACUCCCAGGUUCCUGGCCCUCAGAAACUGUGUGAGAUAAUAAAUAUUUCUUGUUUAAGCGCA